GACAAAUACAGAGGGUGCAGAGAAGGCAGAAGAGAGAGAGAGAGAGAGAGGAGCACGGCAAAAAAGGAGAGAGACACCAGUUGCUGAAAGAGGAAGUGUUGUUGGUGUACUCAGGAUACAGGACAUCCUCAACAGGUCUGAACAGUGAGGUGAGCAUGUGGAUGAUGACACAGCCCUCAAGUCUAGUCCCAGGUUGAGGUUAAUGCUAAUCGUGAUAGGGGUUGUCCAUUGGCAGACACCUAACAUGUUAGCAUUAGCUUCGCUCUGGGAGAUCUCACAAAAAAAACAACUAACCAGGGCCACCAUGGCUGCAUCCAACCCAUCAUGCAACUGAGGAAUAUGAUGCAUAAACAGACACAAGGUGAAAUGCGCAUGGACUAAUACACACUGUAUCACUGCUAUCAAAGACGAUCCUGCUCUCUGUGAAGAUGUCAAAAUGCUGCAGUCAUGGCACAUGAGAAACAACACAUUUAAAGUUCUUAGCAUAUCUUGGAUUCUUAUUUCGGGCGACAUACAUUUGAGUUGCAACCUUUUCAACACAGCCCAUGUUAAAGAUGAUUUCAAAUGUAAACCUACAUAGGUCCAGCAGUCACUAUGGCUCAUUAAACCUCUUCCUAGGCAUGUGCAGAUUGAAUCCUUUAUGAUUCAAUUGAGAAUAUAUUCACGUUUACAGCGUUGUCUGCUCAACAUAAACCUGAUUACCCAGAAUAGACAAAUAGCUGUCUGGCUUUAAAAUAAUACAUCCUUCUGAAAAUCACCCAUACUGUUUAUGUAUCACUUAUACCAUCAUAUAAAGGAACAUUUGAGUAUGCUAUAUUGGAAACAAAUGCUGCAAAUGCUAUAGUUUGACAUUGAAAGCACUGUGUGCCCAUAAAGACAGAAAGAAUCUAAUUCAGAAAAACUGAAAGAUUAAGAUCUGAAUUUUCAGCAGUUAAAGACAAAACAGUUAAACAAGUUAAAAAUCGCCUGGCCAUUUCAUCCUCGGGCAAACCAAAAACUUCAUAAUUACAAGGACAUGCAGAGGUUUAUUUUUUUGAUUAAACUCACUUUAUUUCAUAUUGGAUAUAUUCUCAUUUGUAUUGUGUGUCUUUUCCAUGUGGUUAGUUGAUAAAUGCUUCAGAUAAUUCAGACUGUUCCACUGACUCCUGACUUUGUGUUAUGUUUGGAAUCUGCAUUGUAAAUGUAUGCUGGCAGCUGAAUGCAUGACAAGAAAAUAAAAUCAAUCAUAAACAUC